UGCAGAGGUCUCAAGCGUUGUUCGGAUUCAUUGGGCGUAAAGGGUGUGUAGGUGGCGCGCUAAGUCGGGUGUGAAAUUUCGGAGCUUAACUCCGAAACUGCAUUCGAUACUGGCGUGCUUGAGGACUGGAGAGGAGACUGGAAUUCAUGGUGUAGCAGUGAAAUGCGUAGAGAUCAUGAGGAAGACCAGUGGCGAAGGCGGGUCUCUGGACAGUUCCUGACGCUGAGGCACGAAGGCCAGGGGAGCAAACGGG
rnacentral:rRNA from 1 species